CAGGGCAAACUGGCCUUCUACAGGAUCCUUCAGGCACAGCAGCGCCUCCUAGUGGAGGAUCUUACAGAAGGUCAGAACAGCAGUCAAACUGUGGCUCCUUCAGUGUCUCAUAACCAAGUCCCGA